rnacentral:misc_RNA from 1 species
UCUCCGUAGGUGAACCUGCGGAGGGAUCAUUACUGAGUGAGGGCUUCGGUCCGACUUCCAACCCUUUGUGAACCAAACUUGUUGCUUCGGGGGCGACCCUGCCGCUUCGGCGGUGCGGCGCCCCCGGAGGCCAUUAAACACUGCAUCAUUGCGUCGGAGUUAAAGAAAAUUAAACAAAACUUUCAACAACGGGUCUCUUGGUUCCAGCAUAGAUGAAGAAAGCAGC